AACGAACGCUGGCGGCAGGCUUAACACAUGCAAGUCGAGCGAGACCUUCGGGUCUAGCGGCGGACGGGUGAGUAACGCGUGGGAACGUGCCCUUCUCUACGGAAUAGCCCCGGGAAACUGGGAGUAAUACCGUAUACGCCCUUUGGGGGAAAGAUUUAUCGGAGAAGGAUCGGCCCGCGUUGGAUUAGGUAGUUGGUGGGGUAAUGGCCCACCAAGCCGACGAUCCAUAGCUGGUUUGAGAGGAUGAUCAGCCACACUGGGACUGAGACACGGCCCAGACUCCUACGGGAAGAAGCAGUGGGGAAUCUUAGACAAUGGGGGCAACCCUGAUCUAGCCAUGCCGCGUGAGUGAUGAAGGCCUUAGGGUUGUAAAGCUCUGUCAGCUGGGAAGAUAAUGACGGUACCAGCAGAAGAAGCCCCGGCUAACUCCGUG
rnacentral:rRNA from 1 species